rnacentral:rRNA from 1 species
AUUGAACGCUGGCGGCAUACCUUACACAUGCAAGUCGAACGGUAACAGGGAGCUUGCUCCGCUGACGAGUGGCGAACGGGUGAGUAAUGCGUCGGAACGUGCCGAGUAGUGGGGGAUAACGCAGCGAAAGUUGUGCUAAUACCGCAUACGUACUGAGGUAGAAAGUGGGGGACCUUCGGGCCUCACGCUAUUCGAGCGGCCGACGUCUGAUUAGCUAGUAGGUGAGGUAAAGGCUCACCUAGGCGACGAUCAGUAGCGGGUCUGAGAGGAUGAUCCGCAACACUGGGACUGAGACACGGCCCAGACUCCUACGGGAGGCAGCAGUGGGGAAUUUUGGACAAUGGGCGAAAGCCUGAUCCAGCCAUGCCGCGUGUCUGAAGAAGGCCUUCGGGUUGUAAAGGACUUUUGUUGGGGAGGAAAUCCCCAGCGCUAAUACCGCUGGGGGAUGACAGUACCUGAAGAAUAAGCACCGGCUAACUACGUGCCAGCAGCCGCUGUAAGAC